UACGUAGGGUGCAAGCGUUGUCCGGAAUUAUUGGGCGUAAAGAGCUCGUAGGUGGCCUGUCGCGUCGGCUUUGAAAACUCGGGGCUCAACUCCGAGCUUGCAGUCGAUACGGGCAGGCUAGAGUUCGGCAGGGGAGACUGGAAUUCCUGGUGUAGCGGUGAAAUGCGCAGAUAUCAGGAGGAACACCGGUGGCGAAGGCGGCCAACUGGUCCGGCACUGACGCUGAGGUGCGAAAGCGUGGGGAGCAAACAGG
rnacentral:rRNA from 1 species